rnacentral:rRNA from 1 species
UACGUAGGGUGCAAGCGUUAAUCGGAAUGACUGGGCGUAAAGGGUGCGCAGGCGGUUAUGCAAGAUACAGGUGAAAUCCCCGGGCUCAACCUGGGAAUGGCCUGUGUGACUGCAUAGCUAGAGUGUGUCAGAGGGAGGUAGAAUUCCACGUGUAGCGGUGAAAUGCGUAGAGAUGUGGAGGAAUACCGAUGGCGAAGGCAGCCUCCUGGGAUAACACUGACGCUCAGGCACGAAAGCGUGGGGAGCAAACAGG